UGGGGAAUAUUGGACAAUGGGCGCAAGCCUGAUCCAGCCAUGCCGCGUGUGUGAAGAAGGCCUUUUGGUUGUAAAGCACUUUAAGCGAGGAGGAGGCUACUUGGAUUAAUACUCUAGGAUAGUGGACGUUACUCGCAGAAUAAGCACCGGCUAACUCUGUGCCAGCAGCCGCGGUAAUACAGAGGGUGCGAGCGUUAAUCGGAUUUACUGGGCGUAAAGCGUGCGUAGGCGGCUUUUUAAGUCGGAUGUGAAAUCCCUGAGCUUAACUUAGGAAUUGCAUUCGAUACUGGGAAGCUAGAGUAUGGGAGAGGAUGGUAGAAUUCCAGGUGUUGCGGUGAAAUGCGUAGAGAUCUGGAGGAAUACCGAUGGCGAAGGCAGCCAUCUGGCCUAAUACUGACGCUGAGGUACGAAAGCAUGGGGAGCAAACAGG
rnacentral:rRNA from 1 species